AGAGUUUGAUCAUGGCUCAGGAUGAACGCUAGCUACAGGCUUAACACAUGCAAGUCGAGGGGCAGCAUCAUCAAAGCUUGCUUUGAUGGAUGGCGACCGGCGCACGGGUGAGUAACACGUAUCCAACCUGCCGACAACACUGGGAUAGCCUUUCGAAAGAAAGAUUAAUACCGGAUGGUAUAGUUUUCCCGCAUGGGAUGAUUAUUAAAGAAUUUCGGUUGUCGAUGGGGAUGCGUUCCAUAGGCAGUUGGCGGGGUAACGCCACCAACCUACGAUGGAUAGGGGUUCUGGAGAGGAACGGUCCCCCAUAUUGGAACUGAGACACGGUCCAAACUCCGUACGGGAGGCA
rnacentral:rRNA from 1 species